rnacentral:hammerhead_ribozyme from 1 species
ACGUCACUGAUGAGUCUAUUGUAGACGAAACGCGCGUCUGGCGU